rnacentral:misc_RNA from 1 species
GAUGAAGAACGCAGCGAAAUGCGAUACGUAAUGUGAAUUGCAAAUUCAGUGAAUCAUCGAGUCUUUGAACGCACAUUGCGCCCCCUGGUAUUCCGGGGGGCAUGCCUGUCCGAGCGUCAUUGCUGCCCUCAAGCACGGCUUGUGUGUUGGGCCCCGUCCUCCGAUCCCGGGGGACGGGCCCGAAAGGCAGCGGCGGCACCGCGUCCGGUCCUCGAGCGUAUGGGGCUUUGUCACCCGCUCUGUAGGCCCGGCCGGCGCUUGCCGAUCAACCCAAAUUUUUUAUCCAGGUUGAACUCGGAUCAGGUAGGGAUACCCGCUGAACUUAAGCAUAUCAAUAAGCGGAGGA